UUUUCGUUUCGUAAUAUGUAGUAUUUCUUGCCUUCCCUGUAGUCACCUUUCUACAAUUUUUGUUUAAAUAAAAUUUAAAAUGCGACGUAAUGUCACUGUCACAGCAACCAUUUAAAUCGAUUGAACAAUUUCCCAACAUCAGAAGA